GAUGAACGCUGGCGGCGUGCCUAAUACAUGCAAGUCGAGCGAACAGACGAGGAGCUUGCUCCUCUGACGUUAGCGGCGGACGGGUGAGUAACACGUGGAUAACCUACCUAUAAGACUGGGAUAACUUCGGGAAACCGGAGCUAAUACCGGAUAAUAUAUUGAACCGCAUGGUUCAAUAGUGAAAGACGGUUUUGCUGUCACUUAUAGAUGGAUCCGCGCCGCAUUAGCUAGUUGGUAAGGUAACGGCUUACCAAGGCAACGAUGCGUAGCCGACCUGAGAGGGGGGUCGGCCCCCCUGGAACUUGGCCCCGGUCCAGGCUCCCACGGGGGGGCGGAGGAGGGAAAUUUCCCGAAAGGGCGGAAACCUGGCGGGGCCACCGCGGGGGAGGUAAUAAGGUUUUCCGAUUCGUAAACCCUUUUUUUUGGGAAAAACAAAUGUUGAAGUUACCAUUCCCGGUUUGGCGGUAACUUAACAGAAAGGCCCGGCUAACUUCGUG
rnacentral:rRNA from 1 species